rnacentral:rRNA from 1 species
GGAAUAUUGCACAAUGGGCGCAAGCCUGAUGCAGCCAUGCCGCGUGUAUGAAGAAGGCCUUCGGGUUGUAAAGUACUUUCAGUGGGGAGGAAGGCGAUGAGGUUAAUAGCCUCGUCGAUUGACGUUACCCGCAGAAGAAGCACCGGCUAACUCCGUGCCAGCAGCCGCGGUAAUACGGAGGGUGCAAGCGUUAAUCGGAAUUACUGGGCGUAAAGCGCACGCAGGCGGUCUGUCAAGUCGGAUGUGAAAUCCCCGGGCUCAACCUGGGAACUGCAUUCGAAACUGGCAGGCUAGAGUCUUGUAGAGGGGGGUAGAAUUCCAGGUGUAGCGGUGAAAUGCGUAGAGAUCUGGAGGAAUACCGGUGGCGAAGGCGGCCCCCUGGACAAAGACUGACGCUCAGGUGCGAAAGCGUGGGGAGCAAACAGGAUUAGAUACCCCAG